AACGAACGCUGGCGGCAUGCCUAACACAUGCAAGUCGAACGAGACCUUCGGGUCUAGUGGUGCACGGGUGCGUAACGCGUGGGAAUCUGCCCUUGGGUUCGGGAUAACAGUUGGAAACGACUGCUAAUACCGGACGAUGUCUUCGGACCAAAGAUUUAUCGCCCAGGGAUGAGCCCGCGUCGGAUUAGCUAGUUGGUGAGUUAAAGGCUGACCAAGGCGACGAUCCGUAGCUGGUCUGAGAGGAUGAUCAGCCACACUGGGACUGAGACACGGCCCAGACUCCUACGGGAGGCAGCAGUGGGGAAUAUUGGACAAUGGGCGAAAGCCUGAUCCAGCAAUGCCGCGUGAGUGAUGAAGGCCUUAGGGUUGUAAAGCUCUUUUACCCGGGAUGAUAAUGACAGUACCGGGAGAAUAAGCCCCGGCUAACUCCGUGCCAGCCGCCGCCGUAACAC
rnacentral:rRNA from 1 species